rnacentral:rRNA from 1 species
CUGCAGUCUGCAACUCGACUGCACGAAGCUGGAAUACGCUAGUAAUCGCGGAUCAGCACGCCGCGGUGAAUACGUUCCCGGGCCUUGUACACACCGCCCGUCACACCAUGGAAGUCUGCAAUGCCCGAAGCCGGUGGCCUAACCACUUAUGUGGAAGGAGCCGUCUAAGGCAGGGCAGAUGACUGGGGUGAAGUCGUAACAAGGUACC